rnacentral:rRNA from 1 species
GACGAACGCUGGCGGCGUGCCUAAUACAUGCAAGUUGAGCGCUGAAGGUUGGUACUUGUACCAACUGGAUGAGCAGCGAACGGGUGAGUAACGCGUGGGGAAUCUGCCUUUGAGCGGGGGACAACAUUUGGAAACGAAUGCUAAUACCGCAUAAAAACUUUAAACACAAGUUUUAAGUUUGAAAGAUGCAAUUGCAUCACUCAAAGAUGAUCCCGCGUUGUAUUAGCUAGUUGGUGAGGUAAAGGCUCACCAAGGCGAUGAUACAUAGCCGACCUGAGAGGGUGAUCGGCCACAUUGGGACUGAGACACGGCCCAAACUCCUACGGGAGGCAGCAGUAGGAAAUCUUCGGCAAUGGACGAAAGUCUGACCGAGCAACGCCGCGUGAGUGAAGAAGGUUUUCGGAUCGUAAAACUCUGUUGGUAGAGAAGAACGUUGGUGAGAGUGGAAAGCUCAUCAAGUGACGGUAACUACCCAGAAAGGGACGGCUAACUACGUG